CCUUUGAAAUAUGUUUAUUUGAAUUUUCAGAAUCUCAAAUAAAUCUUGAGUCGGAGAAGGAUGAAUACAAAGAUUAUAGGUUUACGAAGUGGAUGACAAAGAAUAUUGGAAUUCAAGGCAUUCCACCUUCUGCUUUUUACAGUGUUCCUCACAAAAAUUUGGGUGAAAACUAUGUUAGAUACAAUUUUAUCAAGAAGGAUGAGAAUUUGAAGAAAGCCAGUGACAUUUUAACUAAAUGGAAAUCUAGUCUCAAGUGAAAUAUAUUGUUCACAUUAAUUAUAGGAUAAACUGACGAUAUUUUAAGAAAAACUUGGUGCUCAACUUUUUAACAGAAAGUAUGUUGUUAUUGAAAGAAUAUAUUUUGUUGAAUGAAAAA